rnacentral:rRNA from 1 species
AACGAACGCUGGCGGCAUGCCUAACACAUGCAAGUCGAACGAGACCUUCGGGUCUAGUGGCGCACGGGUGCGUAACGCGUGGGAACCUGCCCUUAGGUUCGGAAUAACUCCCCGACAGGGGUGCUAAUACCGGAUAAUGUCUUCGGCCCAAGGAUUUAUCGCCUUUGGAUGGGCCAGCGUUGGAUUAGCUCGUUGGUAGGGUAAAAGCCUACCAAGGCGUCGAUCCAUAGCUGGUCUGAGAGAAUGAUCAGCCACACUGGGGCUAAGACACGGCCCAGACUCCUACGGGAGGCAGCAGUGGGGAAUAGUGGACAAUGGGCGGAGGCCUGAUGCAGCAAGGCCGGGUGAGUGAUGAAAGCCUGAGGGUUGAAAAGCGCUUUUACCCGGGAUGAUAAUGACAGUACCGGAAGAAUAAGCUCCGGCUAACUCCGUG